AACGAACGCUGGCGGCGCGUUUUUAAGCAUGCAAGUCGAAGGAUGCGAUUUUAGCAAUAGAGUCGUAGACUGGCGAACGGGUGAGUAACACGUGAAAAUCUAUCUUAAGAUGGGGGAUAGUCGGUAGAAAUACCGGGUAAUACCGCAUGUGCCGAGAGGUGAAAGCUCCAAUUGGAGCGUCUUUAGAUGAGUUUGCGUUCCAUUAGCUAGUUGGUGGGGUAAUGGCCUACCAAGGCGACGAUGGAUAGCCGGCCUGAGAGGGUGUACGGCCACAUUGGGACUGAGACACGGCCCAGACUCCUACGGGAGGCAGCAGCUAAGAAUAUUCCGCAAUGGGACAAUCCUGACGGAGCGACGCCGCGUGUAUGAUGAAGGCAGAAAUGUUGUAAAGUACUUUUGCGCGGGAGAAUAAUGAUAGGAGUGGAAAGUCUAUCAGAUGACGGUACCGCGCGAAUAAGCCACGCUAACUACGUGCCAGCAGCCGCGGUAA
rnacentral:rRNA from 1 species